rnacentral:rRNA from 1 species
UACAGAGGGUGCGAGCGUUAAUCGGAAUUACUGGGCGUAAAGCGUGCGUAGACGGUAAUGUAAGUCAGAUGUGAAAGCCCCGGGCUCAACCUGGGAAUUGCAUUUGAGACUGCAUUGCUUGGGUGCGGAAGAGGGAAGCGGAAUUUCCGGUGUAGCGGUGAAAUGCGUAGAUAUCGUCUGGAACGCCGAAGGUGAAAACAGCUCGCUGGGGCUGCGCUGACGCUGAGACACGAAAGCCAGGGGAGCGAACGGG